AUUGAACGCUGGCGGCAGGCCUAACACAUGCAAGUCGAGCGGCAGCGGAAAGUAGCUUGCUACUUUGCCGGCGAGCGGCGGACGGGUGAGUAAUGUCUGGGGAUCUGCCUGAUGGAGGGGGAUAACUACUGGAAACGGUAGCUAAUACCGCAUAACGUCGCAAGACCUAAGCGGGGGACCUUCGGGCCUCGCGCCAUCAGAUGAACCCAGAUGGGAUUAGCUAGUAGGUGGGGUAAUGGCUCACCUAGGCGACGAUCCCUAGCUGGUCUGAGAGGAUGACCAGCCACACUGGAACUGAGACACGGUCCAGACUCCUACGGGAGGCAGCAGUGGGGAAUAUUGCACAAUGGGCGCAAGCCUGAUGCAGCCAUGCCGCGUGUAUGAAGAAGGCCUUCGGGUUGUAAAGUACUUUCAGCGAGGAGGAAGGCGGUAAGGUUAAUAACCUUACUGAUUGACGUUACUCGCAGAAGAAGCACCGGCUAACUCCGU
rnacentral:rRNA from 1 species